rnacentral:lncRNA from 1 species
AAUUGUGCUUCCACAUCCAUGGUGUUUUCUCUACACAGAUUGCUGGUUUUACCUCAAGUCCAAAGCUUUAAGUUGACCUGAAUAUUUCCAGUUAACAUUCUCUUUGUCAGAGGGGCAUGAACUUCUCCCCGGUUAAAGAAUGUGUGUGUGUGUGUGUAUGUGUGUGUGUGAGAGAGAGAGAGAGAGAGAGAGAGAAUUAUCAUUCUGACACAUUCUUUUGAAAUUGAAUUCUUACAGCUCUCCACACAAGGAGAUGCAAGUCAGGUGAUUGGGCCUCUUACUGAAGGACAGAGAAGAAAUGUGGCAGUAGUGAAUUCAUUGUAUAAGUUGCACCAAUCAGUAACAAAGGUUGUUUCCAGUCAGAGCUCAUUCCCACUGGCAGCUGAGCAAACUAUAAUUUCAGCUCUAAAGGAUCUGCAGUACAGUGUUGAAUAGAACUGGCUAUUCAUGCUCUUAUGGAAAAUGCUGUGCAACCCUUACUCACUUCUGUGGGAGAUGCUAUAGAGGCCAUAAUCAUCACCAUGCAUCAAGAAGACUUUUCUGGGUCAUUAUCCAGCUCAGGAAAACCUGAUGUUCC